GACGAACGCUGGCGGCGUGCUUAACACAUGCAAGUCGAACGGAAAGGCCCUGCUUUUGUGGGGUGCUCGAGUGGCGAACGGGUGAGUAACACGUGAGUAACCUGCCCUUGACUUUGGGAUAACUUCAGUACACUGUGGCUAAUACCGGAUAGGAGCUCCUCCUGCAUGGUGGGGGUUGGAAAGUUUCGGCGGUUGGGGAUGGACUCGCGGCUUAUCAGCUUGUUGGUGGGGUAGUGGCUUACCAAGGCUUUGACGGGUAUCAGGCCUGAGAGGGGGACCGGCCACAAGGGGAGUGAGAUGAGGCGCAGAAUCCUACGGGAGGAAGCAGUGGGGAAUAAUGCACAAUGGGCGGAAGCCGGCUGCAGCAACGCCGCGUGCGGGAUGAAGGACUUCGGGGUGUAAACAGCUUUCGCCUGUGAAGAAGAGUGAGUGACGGUAACGGGUAAAGAAGCACCGGCUAACUACGUG
rnacentral:rRNA from 1 species